rnacentral:tRNA from 1 species
GAGGCGUGGCAGAGCGGCCGAAUGCACUGGUCUUGAAAACCAGCGACGGGCAACCGUCCGGGGGUUCAAAUCCCCCCGCCUC